rnacentral:tRNA from 1 species
GGACUGUGACUCAGUGGUAGUGUACUUGCCUGGCAUGUGUGAGGCACUGGGUUCGAUUCUCAGCACCA